rnacentral:tRNA from 1 species
GUUGACAUAGUUUAAUAAAAACACUAGGUUGUGGACCUAGAAACAGAAGUUAAAUUCUACUUGCCAACC